rnacentral:lncRNA from 1 species
AGGAAGGAGCACUGUGCCAGGAGCCAAAGAUGGAGAUGCAUGAGUCACAGUCCAGUCCUCAGGGUCUCCUGGGGAAGGCUCUACACACAAUUUAACACAGGCCUGCCAUCGAAUUCCAACCCUGGAGCUGAGGGAACAGAGAGUUGAGACAGCUGGCCGUGCUUGGGGGUUAGAGAGGCCUCUGGAAGAAGCUGACAUCUGAACAGAAUCUGAAGAGAUCCAUGGAGUUAGGCAGCUGAUGGGGCGAGUGAGGAGAACAGGAUGGUCCAAGCACGGGAGUCGUAUGGACAAGAGGAUGGAGGCAUGAAGCAUCGGAUGCAUGGGAACAACCAUAUGCAGGCAGCAGAGUUAUGAAGAUAACAGAAGCAGUUUUGUGCCAACCAAAGAAGAUGUCACCCAGGGUAAACCAAGAAAAGUAGCUUCUAUCAGGACAAUCCUGUGCUUUGCUGCUGCUCAAAAGUACUGGCUUGCAAAUGGUUAUUUCAUUCACAAUAAGGGGACUGAAUUCUUACAGGGCAAUCUGGUGAUGGGAG